GUAGGUGAACCUGCGGAAGGAUCAUUAACACGUAUCCAACGUUUAUCAACAAACCCGGUGUCAUAUGUUUUCAGCCCUUUCAUAACCCCAAUAACCCCUCCUUAUAUUAGUUGUCUGUUAUCUGUACUAUUUCUACUCUGGUUUACGCCGACGGCGAUAGUACACGUUUAUUUAUCUGAACGUUAAAAUACAACUCUUAGCAAUGGAUAUCUUGGUUCUC
rnacentral:misc_RNA from 1 species